CAGUCGCCGCGGGAAUACGAAGGGGGCUAGCGUUGCUCGGAAUUACUGGGCGUAAAGGGAGCGUAGGCGGGUCGUUUAGUCAGAGGUGAAAUCCCGGGGCUCAACCUCGGAACUGCCUUUGAUACUGGCGACCUUGAGUAUGGGAGAGGUAAGUGGAACUCCGAGUGUAGAGGUGAAAUUCGUAGAUAUUCGGAAGAACACCAGUGGCGAAGGCAGCUUCUUGGUCCAUUCCUGACGUUCAUACACGAAAGCGUGGGGAGCAAACAGGAUUAGAUACCCCUGUAGUCCCUGUCUCUUAUAC
rnacentral:rRNA from 1 species